UACAGAGGGUGCGAGCGUUAAUCGGAAUUACUGGGCGUAAAGCGCGCAUAGGCGGCUUUGCAAGUCGGGUGUGAAAUCCCCAGGCUUAACCUGGGAACUGCAUUCGAGACUGCAUUGCUAGAGUAUGGGAGAGGGAAGUGGAAUUUCAGGUGUAGCGGUGAAAUGCGUAGAUAUCUGAAGGAACAUCAGUGGCGAAAGCGACUUCCUGGACCAAUACUGACGCUCAUGUGCGAAAGCGUGGGGAGCAAACAGG
rnacentral:rRNA from 1 species